UACGGAGGGAGCUAGUGUUGUUCGGAAUUACUGGGCGUAAAGCGCACGUAGGCGGCUUCGUAAGUUAGAGGUGAAAGCCCGGGGCUCAACUCCGGAAUUGCCUUUAAGACUGCAUCGCUAGAAUUGUGGAGAGGUAAGUGGAAUUCCGAGUGUAGAGGUGAAAUUCGUAGAUAUUCGGAAGAACACCAGUGGCGAAGGCGACUUACUGGACACAUAUUGACGCUGAGGUGCGAAAGCGUGGGGAGCAAACAGG
rnacentral:rRNA from 1 species